AUUGAACGCUGGCGGCAGGCCUAACACAUGCAAGUCGAGCGGAGCGGCGGACGGGUGAGUAAUGCCUAGGAAUCUGCCUGGUAGUGGGGGAUAACGUCCGGAAACGGGCGCUAAUACCGCAUACUAUCAGAUGAGCCUAGGUCGGAUUAGCUAGUGGGUGGGGUAAAGGCCUACCAAGGCGACGAUCCGUACCUGGUCUGAGAGGAUGAUCAGUCACACGGGAACUGAGACACGGUACAGACUCCUACGGUAGGCAGCAUUGGGGAAUAGUGGAGAAGGGGCGAAAGCCUGAUCCAGCCAUGCCGCGUGUGUGAAGAAGGGCUUCGGAUUGUACAGCACGUUAAGUUGGGAGGCGUUACCAACAGAAUAAGCACCGGCUAACUUCGUGCCAGCCGCCGCGGUAAUUC
rnacentral:rRNA from 1 species